GACGAACGCUGGCGGCGUGCUUAACACAUGCAAGUCGAACGAAGAGCGACGGAAGCUUGCUUCUAUCAAUCUUAGUGGCGAACGGGUGAGUAACGCGUAAUCAACCUGCCCUUCAGAGGGGGACAACAGUUGGAAACGACUGCUAAUACCGCAUACGAUCUAACCUCGGCAUCGAGGAUAGAUGAAAGGUGGCCUCUACAUGUAAGCUAUCACUGAAGGAGGGGAUUGCGUCUGAUUAGCUAGUUGGAGGGGUAACGGCCCACCAAGGCGAUGAUCAGUAGCCGGUCUGAGAGGAUGAACGGCCACAUUGGGACUGAGACACGGCCCAGACUCCUACGGGAGGCAGCAGUGGGGAAUCUUCCGCAAUGGACGAAAGUCUGACGGAGCAACGCCGCGUGAGUGAUGACGGCCUUCGGGUUGUAAAGCUCGGUUAAUCGGGACGAAAGGCCUUCUUGCGAAUAGUGAGAAGGAUUGACGGUACCGGAAUAGAAAGCCACGGCUAACUACGUG
rnacentral:rRNA from 1 species